rnacentral:rRNA from 1 species
AGAACGAACGCUGGCGGCAUGCCUAAUACAUGCAAGUCGAACGAACACUUCGGUGUUAGUGGCGCACGGGUGCGUAACGCGUGGGAAUCUGCCCUUGGGUUCGGAAUAACAGUUGGAAACGACUGCUAAUACCGGAUGAUAUCGAAAGAUCAAAGAUUUAUCGCCCAGGGAUGAGCCCGCGUAGGAUUAGCUAGUUGGUGAGGUAAGGCUCACCAAGGCGACGAUCCUUAGCUGGUCGUGAGAGGAGUGA